GCAGGUGGUUGGUGUGGUGUCUGUCGGUCGGUCUGCCGCCCUGCCGGUGCCCGCAGGCACCGGCAGGGCGGCAGACCGACCGACAGACACCACACCAACUC
rnacentral:pre_miRNA from 1 species